rnacentral:rRNA from 1 species
CGAACGCUGGCGGCGUGCUUAACACAUGCAAGUCGAACGCGAAAGGUUUCUUCGGGAACCGAGUAGAGUGGCGCACGGGUGAGUAACGCGUAAGUAAUCUACCCUAGCAUCUGGGAUAACCCACCGAAAGGUGUGCUAAUACCUGAUACGCUGGAGACAGGAAAGGUGGCCUCUUCAUGAAAGCUACUGUGCCGGGAUGAGCUUGCGUACCAUUAGCUAGUUGGUGGGGUAAAGGCCUACCAAGGCGACGAUGGUUAGCGGGUCUGAGAGGAUGAUCCGCCACACUGGAACUGGAACACGGACCAGACUCCUACGGGAGGCAGCAGUGAGGAAUAUUGCGCAAUGGGGGAAACCCUGACGCAGCGACGCCGCGUGGAUGAUGAAGGCCUUCGGGUCGUAAAAUCCUGUCAGAUGGGAAGAAGUGUUAUAUGUUUAAUAUACAUAUAAUUUGACGGUACCAUCAAAGGAAGCACCGGCUAACUCC